rnacentral:rRNA from 1 species
UACGUAGGGCGCAAGCGUUGUCCGGAAUCAUUGGGCGGAAAGAGCUCGUAGGCGGCCUGUUGCGUCCGCUGUGAAAUCCCGGGGCUUAACCCCGGGCGUGCAGUGGAUACGGGCUGGCUGGAGGCAGGCAGGGGAGAACGGAAUUCCCGGUGUAGCGGUGAAAUGCGCAGAUAUCGGGAGGAACACCGGUGGCGAAGGCGGUUCUCUGGGCCUGUACUGACGCUGAGGAGCGAAAGCGUGGGGAGCGAACAGG